GGCCAGUCCGUGUCCGUGCGCCUCACACAACGACGGAAAGCUCUCUGCUCCUCCGACCCGAUCCGAGCCUAUCUUCCUCCUCCUCCUCGCCCCAACUUGACGCGAGCGGGCAAACCCUAGCCUAGCCGCCAUGGUUCCUUCUCUCCACCCUGCACCACCUUGUCGGGAGAUCCUCCGUGCGCGCCUCUCAUCCUAGUCCUAGAGAGAGAAGAAGAAGAGAUUAACUCCAUCUGUCGGUCGCCUCUCAUCCUCAAGGAAAACUUGCGGUGACGCGCCCUGGUGCUGGAUCGAUCUGGCCCUCCCUCCUUAGAGAGAUUUGCCGCUGGCCGGCGGACGAGCAAGCAGCGACCGGCCGUAGAGUAGAGGCAGGAGAAAGCGCCGGGGAAGGGGAAGAAACGGAUCUCCCCUCCCCUCCCCUCCCCUUUGCCCACUGUUCCUCUCAUGACCCUCAGUCAGAUGAGAUCCAUCCGUCCGCCUCAUCUCAUCUCAUCUCAUCUCAUCUCAUCUGCUGUAUUGUAUUGUAUUGUAUUGUAUUGUUUUCGAGUCUACUAUUCCAUGUUUCACACAUCUGCAAACGAUUCCUUCUCAUCUUCUUUCCUCUCUCUUGUUCUUUCUUCUCACUAGAAUAGAAUAGAAUAGAAAGAAAGUUUUCUCUGGCUAUUCUGUAUUUUCGCCGAGUUAAAAUAUCUUCAGCUGAUGAUUUACAUCUGCUUUUCGUGGAUGCGUUUUUUUUUGGUUCCUUUGCCCUCUGUUCUCUUCUCUUCUUCUCAUGUCACAGACACAUCCGUCUCUCGUCUCUAGUUUUUGACUGUUUAUUAAAUUUCACGAUUUCCCUUAAUUUGUUUCUUCACCUUUCUGACCCGCAGUCUUUUUUUUUUACCUCUCUUUGGGGAAACAGGUACCCCCUGUUCUUCAGCACGGACGCCUUUCUCGACAUCAAGGACGGAGCGGAUGGCAAAGAGGCAAAGACACAAUUGAAUAAGAGGAGGAGGCAACAAUCAUUCCCUCGUGCACGUACCAAUAUCUUGCUAAGUAACCUUUCCCUUUUACUUUGUUAUUAUUAUAAUUGAUGAAUUUCUUGGUCACAUAAUGCUUUCUGGUCUAUGGAUUUCUUGAUAGCUUCACAGCACAACUCCCAAGUGUGUUCCACCUUAGAAGCCAACAGGAAAUAAAUAUACAUCCAUCAUUUGCAUCUAAAACCAAUUUCAUCCAAAGAUAGCACGCCCCCUCGUAUUUUGGGUCAAACCUUGACUAACAAAAAUACAAUUUAUGUGCUACACAAAGUAUAUCAUUGGAUUUGUAUUUUAAAGAGGAUUUCCAACCGUAUAACUUUGUGACAUAGUUUUAUUUUAUUAGUUAAAUUUAUACUCAAAGCUUGGCCCUAAAUACGAGGUGGCCAAUAAACCCAAACCGAGUGAGUAAUUGCUAGACCACACACACAUAGUGCACCAGUAAGGCCUCCUUUGGUUUACAUCAAGUUUGUAGGAAUUUUGUAGGAUAACGGUUCCUACAGAAAAUAUCCCCUUAGAGCCCUUUGGUCUGCAGGAAUGAAUUUGUAUUCCAAUGCAAAAUUGGUUCCUAUCCUUCACAUUUCAAAGGAAUUAAAAAAAAAUUAGCUCAGACCUCGGGCCUCUUUGAUUCCCAUGAUUUCCAAAACAUUGGGAUAAGAAAAAUGUAGGAACAGGAUCAUGUCAGGAUGUUUGAUUGUGCAUAGGAAGAAUGUAUGAUUCUUUCAAAGAGAUUGGAGUAGAUGAAUUUUUUUCCCAUGAAAUUUAGUGCAAAUGGAUCCUAAAGAAAAGAAAAACCACAUGGUUUGGAAUCCAAUGAAUCAAAUAAACCACAUAAGGAAAAAUUCCUAAGGAUUAGAAUCACAGAUUGUGCAUUUCCAAUAAUUUCCAAGCACCAUCCAAUCAGUAACAUUUGCAUGAAAACCAUAUCACUGCCAAACCAUCACAGAUAGCACAUUUCCAAUAAUUUCCAAGCACCAUCCAAUCAAUAACAUUUGCGUGAAACUAUAUUACACUCCCAAACCAUCACAGAUAGCACGUUUCCAAGCACCAUCCAAUCAAUAACAUUUGCAUGAAAACUAUAUUACACUCCCAAACCAUCACAGAUAGCACGUUUCCAAGCACCAUCCAAUCAAUAACAUUUGCAUGAAAACUAUAUUACACUCCCAAACCAUCACAGAUAGCACAUUUCCAAUAAUUUUCUAGUCAUGCUCCCGGUCUUUUGCAAAUAUAGAGCAGUUCAAAGUAAGUUCACAGACAUGACCACCAAACAUUAGACCUCGCUUUGGUUUAAACGAAUGUUUUAGCGCAUUUUCUAAACCGAAGGCUUGAAUAGUGCCACCAUAGGAAAUUUCCUAUUCCUAAGUGUUCCCACUUCUACUUUUUGAACAAAAAGAGGCCUAAGUUUCCAUAGGUUUCUACAGAUCAGUGACAAACAGGAUUAAAACAUAUAUGACUGCUUAGCUUGACAAGCUUAUUAUCACCAGGAAUGAAAACAACCAAUGAGUUCACAAAGCAUGUAUCGAUUUCUCAUAAGAAUUAGCACAAACACCUAGAGGGAUCAACAUAGACUCUCCCAGGUUCACAGGCAAAACUCGGGACCAUGCAUGUAUUUUGCAAAUCUUUAUGUCCCCGUAUAAUGCUCCUAUGUGCUUGGUGUGUUGUACAGGGUGGAUUGCCAUAAAUAAAAUAGAAGAAGAAUGGAAGUUGAUCCCCAGAAAAUAAAAGAAUAGGAAAACAAGCAAGUUGGCAGUAUCAUUGUAUUUCCAACGCUGUAGCUGGAUGUAUUUUAUAUACCUAUGCCAUCACAGAUAACACAUUUCCGAUAAUUUCCAAGCAUGCCCCCGGUCUUUUGCAAAUAUGUAGCAGUACAAAGUUCACAGACAUGACCCCCCAAACAUUAGGCUCGCUUGGUUUAAACAAAUUUUGUAGCGCAUUUUCUAAACCGAAGGCUUGAAUAGUGCCACCAUAGGAAAAUUUCCAAUUCCUAUGCGUUUCCACUUUCCAUUGAUCCAAAAGAGUACUAGGUUUCCGCAGGUUUUGUCAGAUCAGCGACAAACAGGAUAAAAACAUGUAUGACUGCUUAGCAUGACACACUUAUUAUCAUCAGGAAAAUAACCAAAAAGUUCAAAAAACAUGCAUUAAUUUCGCAUAAGAAUUAGCACAAACACCUAGAGGGAUCAAUGUAGACUCUCCCAAGCUCACAGGCAAAAAAUUUCAAAAAGAAAAAGCUCACAGGCAAAGCUUGUGACCAUGCAUGCAUUCUGCAAAUCUUUAUCCCCCCUAACGUUGCUAUGUGCUUGAUGUCUUGUACAAUGUGGGUUAUGUGCUGCUGUGUUCUUUCUGUCCAGUGUGAAAAAGUGGAAUGCCAUAAAUAGAAUAGAAGAAGAAUGGAAGUUGAUCCCCAGGAAAUAAAAGAAUAGGAAAACAAGCAAGUUGGCAGUAUUAUUGUAUUUCCAAGGCUGUAGCUGGACUGAUUUUCUGAAUGUUAAAUUACUGUAUCAGACUUGGUUACCAUCUAUCUAUUAUAUUAUAUACCUAUAUGACAGAAGACAUGAUGACGUAGCCAGAAGACUAGAGUAUGGGUGGAACUAAUAGCAUCUCAAUUCUUAAGAGAUGCAAUCUCUGUCCUUCCUGAGUGUGUAGGCUACCGGCAGAGCCGAUGUGCCGCUAAGGCCAGAGGCUGUAGCGGAAGCGGUCACCGGUGACGGUGGGGCUCAGAUCCCCAUCAUCGACUAAGCUGUGGUGUAUGCCUCGACAUUGCCUGCUAGGACCGGGGCUUGUUCCAGUUAAUUGACACGAUGUGGUGGAGGUAAUGAAGGCUAGCAUCCAAGAAUUCUUUGAGCUACCCGCCCGCAGCACCCAAGAAUGAACCAAAGGAGGCUGACUGAUGUAUAUUCCAUAAAUAAAAGCCAGUAAAACUGGUAUCGUAUCACAGGUUGGGUUAAUGAAGGCCAAGUAUUCCACAGCACAGCACAGCAUGCAAGCAUAUCAUCAUGAGGGAAAAAAGAGGCAGUCAAAUUUCUUGAUUACCCAGGCAAGGCCUAAUCAUCAUCAUCAUCAUGGCAAUAGCAAUAGAAUACUAGUAGAAGGUCCCAUGGGAAGAGCAGAAUCCCAUAAACAAGAAUAUUGCAGAGUACUAGUGGUAGGAUUGACAGAUCUGAAUUCCACAGCACAGCAUGCAAGCAAGCAAGCAUAUCAUCAUGAGGGAAAAAAGAGAUUCAUGCCCGGCAGUCAAAUUUCUUGAUUGCAAGAGAAACUAGUAGCACAGCACAGCAUGCAAGCAAGCAUAUCAUCAUGAGGGAAAAAAGAGGCAGUCAAAUUUCUUGAUUACCCAGACGAGACAAGACCAAAUCAGCAUCAUCAUGACUAGCACCAGUAGUAGUAGAAUCCAUCCCAUAAACAAUUGAUUGCAGACUAGUACUAGUAGUAGUAGGACCAGGGGAAGACAAAAAUUCAGGGAGCAAUUAGAAUUUAUUACAGGCCGAGGAGUAGCAGGACCGGACCGACGGAUCUACCUGUCCUGACCUCUAACCGUUGCGCUUUGGGUUCUCUGCUUUGCCCUUGGAAGAUGCGUUUGCCUUCCCCUUUUUGGUGGUGUCCUUUGCCGCCUUCUUGUCCUUC